rnacentral:lncRNA from 1 species
GUUUUAACUCACUCCUCAUGAUAACCUUUGAAGUAGGUGUUAUUAUUAUUCCCAUUUUAUAGGUAAGAAGCUAAAGUAUUGAGAAGUCAAGUAACUUGGCCAAGGUUACACUGCUAGUAAGUGACAGACCUGGGAUGUGAACACAGUCAAUCUGUCUUCAGAGCCUACACUGUAAACAUGAAGUUUUAGAUGAGCUAAUCAGACACAAAAAUGUUUGCAGACAGCCGGAAUCAACUUUCAACAAUGGACAAUAAAACAUAAAGCUUUAAAACUGUUAUUUAAAGAACAGUACAUGGAAACUGGCUAUGGUCAUUACGCAAAAAUAAAAUGUGAGGAAAUGGACAUUUAUAUUGAGAAAAGAACAAAAAUGUGAAGAAUGCUAAGGGAAACAACAAAAGAUGCUGCUUUUACAUUACUAGAAGAAACCAAAUGGCACUGUUUAUUUGAAUGCACACUUAUAAACUAGUGGGUCAAAUAGCAUCAAUGCCCACUAUCACACAGUCAUUU